AGAGCGAACGCUGGCGGCAUGCUUAACACAUGCAAGUCGCACGGGCAGGGGAAACCCUGUCAGUGGCGGACGGGUGAGUAACGCGUAGGUAUCUAUCCUUGGGUGGGGGAUAACGGUUGGAAACGACUGCUAAUACCGCAUGAUAACUGAGGUUUAAAGGCGCAAGUCGCCUGGGGAGGAGCCUGCGUACGAUUAGCUUGUUGGUGGGGUAAAGGCCUACCAAGGCGACGAUCGUUAGCUGGUCUGAGAGGAUGAUCAGCCACAUUGGGACUGAGACACGGCCCAAACUCCUACGGGAGGCAGCAGUGGGGAAUAUUGGACAAUGGGCGAAAGCCUGAUCCAGCAAUGCCGCGUGUGUGAAGAAGGUCUUCGGAUUGUAAAGCACUUUCGACAGGGACGAUGAUGACGGUACCUGUAGAAGAAGCCCGGACUAACUUCGUGCCAGCAGCCGC
rnacentral:rRNA from 1 species